AUACUCAGGGACACCGUCCCCCCCUCCGCCCCCCGCCCUCCGUAAGUGCUAUUUUUACAUCGAAUGCCCUAGUCUGGAAGUAGGUAAACUGAAACUAAGCUCAAAUCAAAAGGAGAAAGGCUGGAAAACAAGAGGCUACAAGCUCCAGAAGCUCCGAGCGAGGAUGAAAAUUAGCCAGCCCACAGGUGGGCUCUGCGCGGCCCUGAAAGUCGCACUCUGACCUGACCCUUUCCGCCUCUCGUUUUUCCUUCCAGCCUCGCUUCAAAGUUCUGUAUUGCAGAAUGAAAUCGGCGCCUUUCCCCAGCGGUUUUUCCAAAUACGAGCAAAGGAGGCACAAAACGCAGGUUCCAGAAACUGUGCCUGCAACCAUUCGUCCUUAUUUCCCGACACACGGGCCCCUGCUCCCCGCUAAGGCUGGGGUCCUGGACACGAGUUUUGCGCUCUGAUAGAAGGGCUUAGAUUCCAGAUUGACACUGGGCUCUCUAAAGCCUGCUCCUCAAUCUACUGAUCCGGUCCAGCUUAAGAUCCAGUAGAAAGAAAACAUAGCCUGCCCGGACCGUAACCUUUUUGUUUCAGACCCUGCAUUUGUAAAAUAGCCUAAUAAAAUCUCUCCCUGGCUUACAGAGCAAGACAGCGUCCUGGUCCAAGAACCGGAUGAGUCAAAAGGCGUUACUGUUGAGUCAGACAUAGAAUACAUGAAUACCUAGAAAUUCGUAAAUGAUUCUCCAAAGGCUGUUGAAAUAGCGUUUUCAGGCCGGGCGCGGUGGCUCACACCUGUAAUCCCAGCACUUUGGGAGGCCGAGGCGGGCGGAUCACCUGAGGUCAGGAGAUGGAGACCAUCCUGGCUAACACGGUGAAACCUCGUCUCUACUGAAAAUACAAAAAAUUAGCCGGGCGUGGUGGCGGGGGCCUGUAGUCCCAGCUACUCGGGAGGCUGAGGCAGGAAAAUCGCUUGAACCCGGGAGGCGGAGCUUGCAGUGAGCCGGGAUCGCACCACUGCCCUCCAGCCUGGGCGACAGAGCAAGACUCUGUCUCAAAAAAUGAAAAAAGAAAUAGCGUUUUCAAGUUAUAAUCAGGUGCGAUGAUGAAUGCUAUUAAUGCCAUUUUUAAGAAUAGUAAGUGCAGGAUGUUGAUAGGUUAUUCUGGGAGGAAGGGAGAUGGGGUAUGUGAACUCUGUACUUUCCCCUCAAUUUUGCUGUGAAACUAAACUGCUCUAAAAGUA
ensembl:lncRNA novel transcript